rnacentral:rRNA from 1 species
AUGGGAUCUUCGGUUCUCAUCGAUGAAGAACCACGAAAUGCGAUAAGGUAAUGUGAAUUGCAGAAAUUCAGUGCAAUCAUCNAAUCUNUGAAACCAUGCCCUUUUGGGUAUUUCGGAGGGGCAGCUGUUUUUGAGUGUUGUGAAAAUUCUAACUGUC